rnacentral:rRNA from 1 species
CCUACGGGGGGCAGCAGUGGGGAAUAUUGGACAAUGGGGGCAACCCUGAUCCAGCCAUGCCGCGUGUGUGAAGAAGGCCCUCGGGUUGUAAAGCACUUUCAGUGAGGAAGAACGCCUGGUGGUUAAUACCCAUCAGGAAAGACAUCACUCACAGAAGAAGCACCGGCUAACUCCGUGCCAGCAGCCGCGGUAAUACGGAGGGUGCGAGCGUUAAUCGGAAUUACUGGGCGUAAAGCGCGCGUAGGUGGCUUGAUAAGCCGGUUGUGAAAGCCCCGGGCUCAACCUGGGAACGGCAUCCGGAACUGUCAAGCUAGAGUGCAGUAGAGGAAGGUAGAAUUCCCGGUGUAGCGGUGAAAUGCGUAGAGAUCGGGAGGAAUACCAGUGGCGAAGGCGGCCUUCUGGACUGACACUGACACUGAGGUGCGAAAGCGUGGGUAGCAAACAGGAUUAGAUACCCUGGUAGUC